rnacentral:rRNA from 1 species
CCCUUAGAUGUUCUGGGCCGCACGCGUGCUACACUGAGUGGAUCAGCGGGUCAGGUUGCGCGAAAGUGUUUCCUAAUCUUUAAAUCCGCUCGUGAUGGGGAUUGACGGUUGCAAUUUUCCGUCAUGAACGAGGAAUACCUUGUAAGCGCGGGUCAUCAUCCCGCGCUGAAUACGUCCCGGCCCUUUGUACACACCGCCCGUCGCUCCUACCGAUUGAGUGGUCCGGUGAGGCUUUGGGAUCUGAGCGGAAAGAGCGUUUCGCUGUUUCUGCCCGGAAAACUCAGUCGAACCUUAUCAUUUAGAGGAAGGAGAAGUCGUAACA